AGCCUAAACAUUAAUUUCCGACAUGUUCCUAUCUGUCAGCAGCUCGGACACACUGCUGUCCACGCUGACGUACCGUCACCCGUUUGGACACAGAUGUUAUGAAAUAAUACUCUAAUACUCUUUUUUUCCUGUGAAGAAAUG